GCGCCCGUAGCUCAGCUGGAUAGAGCAACAGGCUACGAACCUGUAGGUCGGGCGUUCGAAUCGCUCCGGGCGCGCCA
rnacentral:tRNA from 1 species